rnacentral:misc_RNA from 1 species
UACGUAGGGUUCAAGCGUUAUCCGGAAUCACUGGGCGUAAAGCGUGUGUAGGCGGAAAUUUAAGUGAUAUGCGAAAUCCUGUGGCUCAACCAUAUGGACUGUAUAUCAUACUGGAUUUCUAGAGGACGGCAGAGGCAAGUGGAAUUGGUAGUGUAGCAGUGAAAUGCGUAGAUAUUACCAGGAACACCAAUGGCGAAGGCAGCUUGCUGGGCCGUUUCUGACGCUCAGACACGAAAGCGUGGGGAGCGAACAGG